rnacentral:sRNA from 1 species
UCCUAAGUCCUUCCUCCGAUCGUGGAGAAUC